rnacentral:rRNA from 1 species
CAGCAGCCGCGGGUAAUACGAAGGGUGCAAGCGUUACUCGGAAUUACUGGGCGUAAAGCGUGCGUAGGUGGUGGUUUAAGUCCGUUGUGAAAGCCCUGGGCUCAACCUGGGAAUUGCAGUGGAUACUGGGUCACUAGAGUGUGGUAGAGGAUAGUGGAAUUUCCGGUGUAGCAGUGAAAUGCGUAGAGAUCGGAAGGAACAUCUGUGGCGAAGGCGACUAUCUGGGCCAACACUGACACUGAGGCACGAAAGCGUGGGGAGCAAACAGGAUUAGAUACCCCAGUAGUCCCUGUCUCUUAUA